rnacentral:rRNA from 1 species
CACGUAGGGUGCGAGCGUUUGUCCGGAAUUAUUGGGCGUAAAGAGCUCGUAGGCGGUGUGUCGCGUCGGCCGUGAAAACCUGCAGCUUAACUGUGGGCUUGCGGUCGAUACGGGCAUCACUGGAGUUCGGCAGGGGAGACUGGAAUUCCUGGUGUAGCGGUGAAAUGCGCAGAUAUCAGGAGGAACACCGGUGGGCGGAAGGCGGGUCUCUGGGCC